AGUGCUUCAGGAUCAUGAUGCUGACAAUAACUCUGACCAUCAUGUUGGUUUUUCUGAGUCAGGAGUCUGCUGCCAACAGUUUUCUGACUCAGACUGACUCAGUCAAGUCUGUUAGUCUUGGAGGGACUGUGAACAUCGGAGCCACAGGGAGUUCAGAUAUUGAUGAUGACCUCAGUUGGUAUCUUCAGAAACCUGGACAGGCUCCCAAGCUCCUUAUACACUCUUCAUCAACUCUUAAUUCAGGAACUCCCUCUCGAUUCAGUGGCAGUUACUCUGGUUCUAGCUACACGUUAACGAUCAGAGGUGUUCAGGCUGAAGAUGUUGGAGAUUAUUACUGUCUCGGUGCUCAUGGCGGUGGCGUGUUCACACAGUGA